rnacentral:rRNA from 1 species
UAAGGAAUAUUGGUCAAUGGACGCAAGUCUGAACCAGCCAUGCCGCGUGGAGGAUGAAGGUCCUCUGGAUUGUAAACUUCUUUUAUCUGGGACGAAAACGGGAUUUUUAUCUCAAUUGACGGUACCAGAGGAAUAAGCACCGGCUAACUCCGUGCCAGCAGCCGCGGUAAUACGGAGGGUGCGAGCGUUAUCCGGAUUUACUGGGUUUAAAGGGUGCGUAGGUGGGCUUAUAAGUCAGUGGUGAAAUCUCCGAGCUUAACUUGGAAACUGCCGUCGAUACUAUAGGUCUUGAAUUAUCUGGAGGUAAGCGGAAUAUGUCAUGUAGCGGUGAAAUGCUUAGAUAUGACAUAGAACACCAAUUGCGAAGGCAGCUUACUACAUAUAAAUUGACGCUGAGGCACGAAAGCGUGGGGAUCAAACA